GACGAACGCUGGCGGCGUGCCUAACACAUGCAAGUCGAACGGAGAAUUUAGCAAUGAAUUCUUAGUGGCGAACGGGUGAGUAACGCGUAGACAACCUGCCUUUUAGAUGGGGACAACACCGCGAAAGUGGUGCUAAUACCGAAUGUUGCAUUUUGAUCGCAUGAUUGAGAUACUAAAGAUGGCCUCUAUUUAUAAGCUAUCGCUAAAAGAUGGGUCUGCGUCUGAUUAGCUAGUUGGUGAGGUAAUGACUCACCAAGGCGACGAUCAGUAGCCGGUCUGAGAGGAUGAACGGCCACACUGGGACUGAGACACGGCCCAGACUCCUACGGGAGGCAGCAGUGGGGAAUCUUCCGCAAUGGACGAAAGUCUGACGGAGCAACACCGCGUGAGUGAAGAAGGUUUUCGGAUCGUAAAACCCUGUUUUCAGGGACGAAUGUGCAGAUUGUGAAUAAUGAUUUGUAAUGACGGUACCUGAGUAGAAAGCCACGGCUAACUACGUGCCAGCCGCCGCGGUAA
rnacentral:rRNA from 1 species